AUUAAAAUUUGAAAUUAUUAUUUUAAAAGAAUCCAAAAUCUUUAUGUGGCAACUUAGGGUUGCUAAUGUUUUUUUUGCUAACAUUGAUCUUCAUUGUAGUAGCAAGAUAAUUUUGGUAUUAAAUUUUCAGCCAAAGAAUUAUUAGCUCAAAUAAUAGUUGUAUAAUUAAGUCGAAUUACUCAGCUCAUUUGGAAAUAUUCGACAUUAUAUAUGGUUGAUUUACCACAUCUUAU
rnacentral:lncRNA from 1 species